rnacentral:rRNA from 1 species
GACGAACGCUGGCGGCGUGCUUAACACAUGCAAGUCGAACGGAAAGGCCUCUUUCGGGGGGUACUCGAGUGGCGAACGGGUGAGUAACACGUGAGUAACCUGCCCUUGACUUUGGGAUAACUUCAGGAAACUGGGGCUAAUACCGGAUAGGAGCUCCUGCUGCAUGGUGGGGGUUGGAAAGUUUCGGCGGUUGGGGCUGGACUCGCGGCUUAUCAGCUUGUUGGUGGGGUAGUGGCUUACCAAGGCUUUGACGGGUAGCCGGCCUGAGAGGGUGACCGGCCACAUUGGGACUGGGAUACGGCCCAGACUCCUACGGGAGGAAGCAGUGGGGAAUAUUGCACAAUGGGUGGAAGCCUGAUGCAGCAACGCCGUGUGCGGGAUGACGGCCUUCGGGUUGUAAACCGCUUUCGCUCAUGACGAAGCUUUGUGUGACGGUAGUGGGUAAAGAAGCACCGGCUAACUACGUG